rnacentral:lncRNA from 1 species
UGAAUCAGUACUGUUGUUAAAAGCAGAGCUCUGCUGUUAAGAGGUUCUGUUUCUAAGGGACUGCUGAGUUAGAUUAGUAUAUACGUGGCAGUAGUUCAGCAAUAAUACAUCACAACAUUGCAUCAAUCAUGGGCUCCCACCAAUAAACACUUUACGGGUGGGUGUGUGUGUGUGUGCGCGCGCGCGCAUGUGCGCAUACUGUGUAAUGUUGGAAAAGGGAUGAAAUUGAAGAAACUGAAACUUCACGGAAUUUGGAAGAGUGGUUUUAACAUGGGACAGAAAAUAGUCUUUUCCUAUUCUCUCAAUCCAUUUUUAGGUAGAAAGGGUCUUAAGUGAUACUUAUGCUUUGGCAUCCAGAGCAUAAGAGAUGAAUGCAGCUACCCUGUGCCAUCCUACUAUAAUAAAUUUUGCACCCACACACAAGUACACAGUUUGCUGUUUUAGAAAGUGAUUCUACAAUCUCGGCUGUCAGGACAGCUGGGAUGCUUACUGUGAAAGGGUCUUGUGAGUGACUAAUGGAAUAUAUGGCUGUGAGAUUUUGCUGUUUUUCUUUCCUUUUGAUUUUUUUUUAAUCCUCCCAGUACUCCAGAGACAGAGACAGACCAGUCUCUGAGUUCAAGGCCAGCCUGAUCUUCAUAAUGAGCUCCAGACAACCAGGGCUAUCUAAGAAGCCUUGUCUCAAAACAAAAAUAAUCACAAAAACCCUAAAUAAAUAAAAGAAGU